UACAGAGGUCUCAAGCGUUGUUCGGAUUCAUUGGGCGUAAAGGGUGCGUAGGUGGCGCUGUAAGUCGGGUGUGAAAUUUCGGAGCUUAACUCCGAAACUGCAUUCGAUACUGCGGUGCUUGAGGACUGGAGAGGAGACUGGAAUUCAUGGUGUAGCAGUGAAAUGCGUAGAGAUGCGGAGGAACACCGAUGGCGAAGGCAGCCCCCUGGGCUAACACUGACGCUCAGGCACGAAAGCGUGGGGAGCAAACAGG
rnacentral:rRNA from 1 species